AUUGAACGCUGGCGGCACGCCUAACACAUGCAAGUCGAGCGGUAGCAUGCUUAGUAGCAAUACUAAGUGAUGACGAGCGGCGGACGGGUGAGGAACACGUAGGAACAUACCCAGAAAGCGGGGGGUACAACUAAGGGGAAACUUUAGCUAAUACUGCAUAAUCUCGAGAGAGAAAAUGCUACCCGCAAGGGGCGGCACUUUUGGAGUGGCCUGCGUCCGAUUAGCUAGUUGGUGGGGGCUAAGAGCUCACCAAGGCGAUGAUCGGUAACUGGUCUGAGAGGACGACCAGUCACACUGGGACUGAGACACGGCCCUGACUCCUACGGGAGCAGCAGUGGGGAAUAUUGGACAAUGGGGGACAACCCUGAUCCGGCGAUGCCGCGUGGGUGAAGAAGGCCUC
rnacentral:rRNA from 1 species